AUCAGUUCUCUCCCAGCUUCAUUAUCGAUUAUUCGAUAUGAUAACAUUUUAAUAUAAAUGGAAUAUUUUGGAUGUAAUUAACAUCUUGCCUAUGUAGAAUAUUCCUGAAGAUGAAGCAUUCAUGUAUCUGCACAAUAUAUAGUUGCUACUCAAAUGCUGUCUCUUAUGCAGGAAAGGCAGUUUGUGCAAGGUGUGCUCUUGCUUUAAAUGCUGCAUUUUACAGUCUGUACCAUGGUGUUCUGGACUUCUUUAUACCUUGUACAAGGACUUAGAAGAAGCCUGUUUGACAGCUCGGCUUUUACAGUAAUACAGACAGUCAACACAAAUUGUCAUUUACAUGCAGUUUUUCCUCUGGCUUUCUUCCCCUGAAGGGAAGUGUUCGUUGUGGUUCAGUACUUCAUACCUGUUGUCACAGCUGAUACCAAUCAAGAUGACGGAGGGCUAAUUUUCAAUGCAACAAGCAUAGGAUAUUCCACUCCCUCAGUGUCUGUCUGGUUCAAUUAUUUCCAUUUCAAGUAAUAGUUAUGCAACAGUUGGAAGAUGUUUUAAAACAAUCAAAGUGAACGGAAAUAUAAUCACAUUGAGUUUUUUUUUGCGUAGUGGGGAAGGGGGUUUAGUGACACUUAACUUCACCUAUCUGAUUGUAAGACUUGUUUUGCUUCAAUUGAUUAAAUUGUUGUCUGUAUGUAACAGGACAGCCAAGGAGAAGUGAAAUCCAUGCCCAUUCCAACAAUUGAUACAAGAUCACAGAGACUACCCAGCAAGGAGCUACCAGAUGCAUCUUCUCCAGUUCCCACGAGUAGCAUACGUGUCAUAAAAAAUUCCAUCAGACUAACCCUUAAUCGGUAGCAACACUGACUUGUCAGGUAAAAGUAAUUUGUAAUUCUUAAACUAUUCAAGCAUGUCAGCUAUAUUUUGUUAAAAUUUGCCCAGACGUGGAAAGUGGAGUACUGCUAUACAAUUGGUAUUCUGACAUGGUGUUGAAGCCAGAAGGUGGGUUAGUCGAAUCUACUCCACUAUACGUUUUGCAGACCAGAUGCUAGAGGUACCAGAAGUACGUUUGGUUUACACUUCAAAACGCAUGUACUGUUGACUGACUGCUGAUUAACCAAUAUCCAUAAAUCUGAGGCCUUGUUAUAGAAAAUGAGGAAGGAGGGGGGAGAAAAUCAAAGCCUUAAAUGGAUGGAAUAGCUUCUGGCCUCUUAAGAUCAACCUGUGUCUCUGGACAUAUUUGUCUCUUUGCCCUGAAUUAUGCAUUGUAUGUGUGUAAAUACUUGUGAACAGCCUUUUAUUGAAAAACAAUCAGUAUUGCAUUGACAGUUCUUUUCAGAAGGCUGACGUGUAAUUUUAAUAAUUGUAAAAUAACAAAAAAAUUGUCCUGUGUAUUUUUUAUGUUAACCCUCCCUUUCAAUGUUUUGUGUAUAUAACAAAAAACCAAAAAAAAGUCAUUUUAGUUAUUGGUAUAGGGUUUUGCGGUUAAAAUCUUUACAGUUGGAGAAUUUCAUCACUUCAGGAAAGCAUUUAUAGGUAAUUGUUUUUGAUUACUUCUAAUGGCCAAUGAUAAGGCUGCUGAUUUUUCUAGUGUGUGCGUGUAUAAAUAUAUAUAGCACUGCAUAUAAAUGUCUACAAAGCAGAAUGAAAAGUUUAGUAAUUGCCUAAAAUGUCUUUUUCUGCUGUAACUUCAUUGUCACUGUGAUUUACAUUUUCCAGUGCAUUCAGUUGAUUGUUUUGUAGGCCUAAAAUCCAUAUGUAUUUGGAAGAAUAUUUUUGUAUUUACUGUAUAAAAAAAAUUAGAGUAAAAAAAACUUUUAAAAACUC